rnacentral:lncRNA from 1 species
GCCUGGCCCAUCUGCCUACACCACGGAACAGCAGCAACCACUAGAUGUGCCUGGGAAUUUACAACCACUUCAUCACUAAGGAACUAAGAAUAAAUUUAACAAGGGUAAAAGAAGAAGAAACAGAAGUGAAAAAGGAGUGUAAAAGAAGUUCUCAACAGAAAGAAGUGUUCUGAAAAGAAAAUACGCUGCACAUGCAGAGCAAAAGGAUAGCAACAGCAGGGCCAGUGUGCACUGACAUUUCCAGCUCUGGUGUCUUAUCUGACCCAUCACACACAGGCGUCUGAAGAUGCUCUGGGAAAAUCUCUCCUGUGUGAUUGAACAAUCUCUGUGAUUGACAAGACAUACCCAGUUGUCCAGCCUGCCUGUCCUAUCUUCAUUUCUUGCCUCAAGUUGGUCCAGUUUUUGGUUAAUUAUGAUUAAUGUCCUAUGACUGUACAUAAAAAUCAC